GCGAGGUUUAGCAAAUCUCUUAAAGCCGUUCUCAGUUCGGAUUGUAGGCUGCAACUCGCCUGCGUGAAGUUGGAAUUGCUAGUAAUCGCGGAUCAGCAUGCCGCGGUGAAUACGUUCCCGGGCCUUGUACACACCGCCCGUCACACCAUGGGAGUCAGCAACGCCCGAAGUCAGUGACCUAACCGAGAGGAAGGAGCUGCCGAAGGCGGGGCAGGUAACUGGGGUGAAGUCGUAACAAGGUAAC
rnacentral:rRNA from 1 species